rnacentral:rRNA from 1 species
GACGAACGCUGGCGGCGUGCCUAAUACAUGCAAGUAGAACGCUGAAGGAGGAGCUUGCUUCUCUGGAUGAGUUUCGAACGGGUGAGUAACGCGUAGGUAACCUGCCUGGUAGCGGGGGAUAACUAUUGGAAACGAUAGCUAAUACCGCAUAAGAGUAGAUGUUGCAUGACAUUUGCUUAAAAGGUGCAAUUGCAUCACUACCAGAUGGACCUGCGUUGUAUUAGCUAGUUGGUGGGGUAACGGCUCACCAAGGCGACGAUACAUAGCCGACCUGAGAGGGUGAUCGGCCACACUGGGACUGAGACACGGCCCAGACUCCUACGGGAGGCAGCAGUAGGGAAUCUUCGGCAAUGGACGGAAGUCUGACCGAGCAACGCCGCGUGAGUGAAGAAGGUUUUCGGAUCGUAAAGCUCUGUUGUAAGAGAAGAACGAGUGUGAGAGUGGAAAGUUCACACUGUGACGGUAGCUUACCAGAAAGGGACGGCUAACUACGUG